AGGGGUGUAGCUCAGGAUCAGAGGACCUGUCUGUCACACAUGAGGUCCUGGGUUCCAUCCCUAGCACCACAA
rnacentral:tRNA from 1 species